rfam:Burkholderia sp. AD24 chromosome II sequence.
UCGAUUAUUACCGCCGCGAAAAUCUCGGCGGGAUAGCUAUUGAGUUGACAAUACGCAAUCACAACCCGCCCAGAAGGCGGGUUUC